GUUAGUCCCCUCUAUUACCCCCACCCCCAACUGAUGGUCACCCCAUUACCGUUCCUUCCGUAAGAAAACACAGCAAAGAACAUCGAGAUUUCCGCAGCACAAACCCAACUCAUCAGAACGUUUCUUCCAACUCCUCUGCGACAAAAGAGAUACCUGCGGGGGUGAAGGUCACUCCAUUACUUUCCUUCUGUAAGAAAAUACAACAAAGAACAUCGAGAUUUCCGCAGCACAAACCCAACUCAUCAGAAUGUUUCUUCCAACUCCUUUGCGGCAAAAGAGAUAUUUGCGGGAGUGAAUAAUUGAAGAAUCUUGAAUCGUUGGAGCAAAAUCAGCAAAACGAACCACAAUAAUGGUGGUGCCGUUCUAAAAUUCAGAAGUCGCCUCUUUCUUGUUACUUCAAAUUUCACUUGAGUUUUCUGCUCCUUGCUGAGAUUUCACCUGAGUUUUGUUGGUGUUUGCUGCGGGUACUUGUAACUUGACAUAUUCUUUGACUUUCAUUCCCUUCAAGUGAAGUGAAACUAUGGCAAAAAAAGCAGGUGUUGCAGUCCAGAAUCAGGGAAUCGAUUUCUCACUCUUCUGCUUAACUAUGGUUGAUAGUAAUUAGGGAUUUUUUUAUUUCAUAAAAGCAUUUCGUGCCUUCUUUCUAAUCAUUUCCCUCUAUUUCACUUUUCAUGCUAUGACACUCUUUCAAGUGACUGCAAGUUAAGUUUCUCAUCUUUUCUUCUUCUUCUUCUUCUUUCUUUAUGUGCUUAUUUUCUCUGUUUAUUUGGCAACAAUUAUUGUUUCAACCCCAUUUGAAAUUUUUCCUAUUUUAUUUUUUCUUAUUUAUAUUGAAUCAGGUUUGAAUUUUAUGUAUCCUGUAAAUCCAAUAUGUAUGUGAGACAACUCAGUUGGUGCUGUAAUUUAGGCUAAACUUUAAUGAAAGUAGCGAGAUGAUAAAUAGAAAAUAUAAAAGGGAAAUAUCAGAGACAUGGAGAAAGCAACAUAUAAUAUCACCUGCAUAUAGUAUCAUUGAAAAUGAAUGAACUCUUUGAAAUAGGCAAUAAAUAAUAUUGGAAAAGCUAUACUGAAAUUAUGUCUAUAUAAUUUCAUGUGGGUUGUUGAUUUUUGUAAGCUCUUCGUUGCAUUUCAUAUUUUCUUUUCUGUGAAGUGUAUCUCAUGUUUACAUAUUUCUUUCUUGGUUGUUGUAGGAUUUGGUUCCAAAUCUAUCGUGGUGGUGCUUGCUAUUAUUGUUGAAAGUGUCUCCAGAACUAUUUUUUUGAAGGCUUUUUGUUGAUUUCUUUUUUUAAGGUUGACAUGAAUCCCUCAAAAACUCUGAAGUAUGAAAUGGGACAAGCUUCAAAAAUUCCAAAGCAUGAACUCAUUCAACCAGGUGCCUUAGCAAAAGGACUAGGUCAAGGUUUGAAAUCUAUGAGAACUAUCAAAGUUAAUGCUAAACCAAGGACUCCGAUUAUCAAAAAUAGAAGUUACUAUACAUCUAUUUCUAAGUUGAAAAGCUAGAAGAUAAUAGUUUCCAUGUGCAUCAUUGUUUGAGGAAAAGGAAGACAAUGCUCCCCUCCAUCAAGGAGCUGAAAUGAAUCAAUACACUUUGACUAGUGUUGCAAAGGGCCAGGGACAAAGGAUAAGGAUUAAUGCUGAAAAAAGGACUAUGAUUGGCGAAAAUAGAUUAACUACACCAACUUCUAGUCGAAAGAAGCAUGUAAAGAAAAGUAUCCCUGUGCCUCCUGAUUUUUAUCCAAUGGAAGACAGUGACACCCUCUUUCCAGAAAUGGAAGUGACUCGAGAUACUCAAAGAGGUCUACUUGAAUUUGAUAAGUCCAAAAAAGUGAUUGAAGUGCCUCGAGUUGGCCAAAGAAGUCCAUUUGAAUAUAGAAAAGCAAAAAUAGUGGUUGGAGUGACUCAAGGUUCUUAGGGAAAUCAAACUAGUCCAGUUGGAUAUUAUAAGGCAGAAAAAAUGACAAAAGUUUAUCGAGAUGUUCAGAGAAGUGAUACUAGUCUAUUAAAGUCUAAAAAGGCUAAAAAAGUUAUUGAAGUGAUUGAAGAUGCUACGAGAAAUGAAACUAGUCCAUGUGAAUAUGAUAGGACAACCAAGGUGAGGGGAACAAAUAUUUGUAAAAAAGUUCUGCGAUUAAAACCCGGAUAAAAGUUUAAAGUCAUUUUCUAUCAAAAUCGAGUCAUUGGGUCGAUUCACACCUUAUUUACGAGACACUUGGGUUUGCUAGUUCAUGAUCGUAAUAUGUGCCCAUUGCGGGUACACUCACUGAUGGAUAUCGAAGAGCACAAGCUUGAGCAUAUGUGGGCAGCUGUUACAGUAAGAAUUACAACAUUACCCCUAAUAUCUUCCAAUUCCUUGCUUUCCAUGUGUAGUAAAUCAUUACAUCCCAUAUUGCUACCUAGAUUUUCUGUUCUGUUUGCUUCCAUUUUCUUGUUCUAAGCAAUUUUUUUCUAGUUUUCCAAUCAGAGGAUAAAUUAAAUUAUGCUUUGUUUGAAUAAAUUUUUUCCAAGUAAGAUAUGCUUCCCAAAGACUGGUUUGGAUCCUUAUAA